GCCAUGAGAGGCUUGACUCGUUGAUUUGUCUUCCUUUGCCACGUAGAAUUGACUGCACCACGUGAGCGUCUUGACUCAUGCUUAGGAAAUGUUGACUUAAUCGUCGCCACAUAAGAUUUACGGCCCGACCCCUAUAACGAUUUUAUUUUACUACAACAAAAAAGUAACGGCAAAAUACAGCUCAAACAACCAGGCGCUUGUGCAUGUCAUAACUAAUGCUUUAAACGUCUGACUAAGAGUCUUAGAACUGGACAUGCCCUAUUGCUAGACGCCUAGAUAGACGCACAAACUGGAGUAAAUAAAUAAAUAAAUAAUAAAAUAAAUAAAACACCCGCUAAGAGUUUGGGCUUCCAACGUUGGGCGAAGCAUAAGCCCUCGGCGAUUCAUUUUGCGCGGAGGCCAACCCAAAGACUGGGAUUGUAUUACAGUAAUGCUACACCUACGGACGCGACGAGUUACGGAAACACUAGUGCUGACGGGUCUUCAGACGUGGCUCCAGUGGAAAACUAAAACCGCACGGUGAGAGAAAAAGGCAAAAAAGUAAAGAAAAAAUUGUCACACGGUGUGAAAUCUCCAAUUCCAUCUCCUGGCGGCGGAGUGAACGCCCCUUAUCAACGAUGGGGC
rnacentral:lncRNA from 1 species